ensembl:lncRNA
GCUGUCAUUCAUCCAUGUGAAUGGGAAUCAUUGGAACAUGCUGUACAUUCAUGCAAAGUCUGGCACAGUCUUCCAAUUGGAUCCAUCACCAGCAUCCUCUGAGCUUGAGGACUCUGCACAUGCCGCCACGAAAAUACAGGAAUACUUCAAGAUGAGGAGAACAUCCCAUGGGAAAACGGACUGGGUUGAUGUUGAGUGGAAAGGAGGAGUAAUGCCCCACCCAGUGCAAAGGGAUGGUUGCAGUUGUGGCGUUAUUGUUGUUGAAAUGGCCAGAGCAGUAAUGGGAGCCUUCCCUCAGUUGCCCCAAAUGCAAUUUGAAACCACCAGGAAAGCCAUGGGAGAAUCUAGGAGGAAUAUGGGUCUCCAAGUCCUUGAGGCAUCAGUCUUUGAUGAAGAGACAUGUGCAAUGUGUGGAGCUGACAGGCCCCCUGGAGAAGCACCUGCCAACACAAACUGGAUCCAGUGUGAUAAAUGUGACCGGUGGUUCCAUGCCGUCUGUUUAACCAUGGACCCCAGGACACUUCAAGAGCUGAAGCAAAAGCAAUGGCUGUGGUGGUAUCCUGCCCCUGCGACGAUCAGCAGGCUACUUUCAGCUGUCGUCGCAUCACCCCUGCUCACCUUACAGCUAUGGCAGAUAAGUUACCC